rnacentral:rRNA from 1 species
GAGUUUGAUCUUGGCUCAGAUUGAACGCUGGCGGCAUGCCUUACACAUGCAAGUCGAACGGCAGCAUGAUCUAGCUUGCUAGAUUGAUGGCGAGUGGCGAACGGGUGAGUAAUACAUCGGAACGUGCCCUGUAGUGGGGGAUAACUAGUCGAAAGAUUAGCUAAUACCGCAUACGACCUGAGGGUGAAAGUGGGGGACCGCAAGGCCUCAUGCUAUAGGAGCGGCCGAUGUCUGAUUAGCUAGUUGGUGGGGUAAAGGCCCACCAAGGCGACGAUCAGUAGCUGGUCUGAGAGGACGAUCAGCCACACUGGGACUGAGACACGGCCCAGACUCCUACGGGAGGCAGCAGUGGGGAAUUUGGACAAUGGGCGAAAGCCUGAUCCAGCAAUGCCGCGUGUGUGAAGAAGGCCUCGGUGU